AGAGUUUGAUCCUGGCUCAGGAUGAACGCUAGCGACAGGCUUAACACAUGCAAGUCGAGGGGCAGCAUGAUUUGUAGCAAUACAGAUUGAUGGCGACCGGCGCACGGGUGAGUAACGCGUAUGCAACUUACCUAUCAGAGGGGGAUAGCCCGGCGAAAGUCGGAUUAAUACCCCAUAAAACAGGGGUCCCGCAUGGGAAUAUUUGUUAAAGAUUCAUCGCUGAUAGAUAGGCAUGCGUUCCAUUAGGCAGUUGGCGGGGUAACGGCCCACCAAACCGACGAUGGAUAGGGGUUCUGAGAGGAAGGUCCCCCACAUUGGUACUGAGACACGGACCAAACUCCUACGGGAGGCAGCAGUGAGGAAUAUUGGUCAAUGGCCGAGAGGCUGAACCAGCCAAGUCGCGUGAAGGAAGAAGGAUCUAUGGUUUGUAAACUUCUUUUAUAGGGGAAUAAAGUGGAGGACGUGUCCUUUUUUGUAUGUACCCUAUGAAUAAGCAUCGGCUAACUCCGUGCCAGCAGCCGCGGUAAUACGGAGGAUGCGAGCGUUAUCCGGAUUUAUUGGGUUUAAAGGG
rnacentral:rRNA from 1 species